UAGUUCAGCACUAAGUCACUUUGUCUUUAUGGCAAAUGUGAGAUGCAGUGUAUGGAAUGUCAAAUUUCUAGUAUAUGAAAUUAACGAUUUAAGUCCUUCUUAAAUGAGGCCAUUUACCCAAAGAGGGUGCCAGGCCCGUAUAACGUUAAUGAUUACUAGAUGGCAUUUCCAAAGAGUCGUGUUGCUUGAUAGUGCAGCACUAAGUGGGUGGUAAACUCCAUCUAAAACUAAAUAUGACCAUGAGACCGAUAGUAAACAAGUACCGUGAGGGAAANUNGAAAANAACUCUGAAUAGAGAGUUAAAUAGUACGUGAAACUGCUUAGAGGUUAAACCCGAUGAACCUGAAUAUUCGUUAUAGAAAAGUCAUCAUUAUAACUGGGUAACAACCAGCCAUUAGUGUGCAUUUUUUCUAUAAUGGACAUUGUGAUCUAUUAACUUAAAUUUAUCAUAAGAUCAAUUAUAUGGNAUAAGUUUAUUC
rnacentral:rRNA from 1 species